rnacentral:lncRNA from 1 species
CCCAAAACCCUUCGUAUAUCAUAGUUAGUGAUUGUAAGAGAAAUAACAACCACAUCAUCAUGGGGGUCUAUACCCCUUUUAAGUUGAAGUUUGAGAAGGAUAUAACUUCCAUGGAUCUCACCCUCUUUAGGGCCAAAUCUCCUGUUCGAGCUGCUUGAGAAGAAUUCUUUGGAGCUAACGAGCUCGAUCCUCCUACUAUGGGUCCUCCAAAGAUUUUGUUGAUAACUCCUACAAUAGGUUGGUAAUGCUCGAGCUUCUCAAGUGAGCAUCCAUCUAAUCACACCCUUUUCUUCUUGAUUAUGAUCAUGCAUGUAUCGGUUGAAAUAUCCUCGAUGAAUAGAUGAACUCCUCGAUAUCGUGGCCAUAAUCUUUAUGGAAGCAGCAAUACUUCCUACAAUUCCUAAUAUUUGCAGGUCUUCAUCUUCUUCAACCAUUGAAGAUAUUUCCAACAUUCUGUCUCUAUCAGGAUCUAAGUCCUUGGAUUGUUAAGAAGAUUGUAGUGGCUGAACUUCGACAAUGGGUUUCUUGGCUGUCAGCUAUUGUCCUCUUCUCAUCUAGACCUCUUUGUUAGUUAUUCUCGAUUUUUUCUAUCUCUCCCUCAACCUCUUCUGCCUCUGGUCUCCUCCAACCCAGUUUCCAUGGCCUCUUCAGCUUUAAUGUAUUUCUCGACUUGAGACUGGAUCUUGGCCAUAUCUUUAAGAUUUCUCUUCUCUAAGAAGAAGUAAAAGCUACAAGACUUUAGCCUACUCAUGACCACUGAUUUGGCAAUCUUCUCAUCCAAAUUAUGAAUCUCCAACAUCUCCAUAUUGAAGCAGUUGUUGAAACUCCUAAGGGGUUCAUCUUCCCUUUGCUUCACUACAAAUAAGCUAAUAGAGUUCUUACACCUCCGACUGCUCAAAAAGUGAUCCAUGAAUUGUUGACUGAUUUGAUUAGAAGAGUGAAUGAAUCUAGGCUAGAGACUAGAGAACCAAAGAUGUCCUACUUUUCUUAGGGUGCCUAGGAAAGCUUGGCACAAAACAGCAACUAUCGCCCCUUGUAGGAUCAUGAGAGUCUUAAAACCCUCUAGAUGAUCCAUACGAUCUGAGGUGCCAUCAUACACUUGAAGCUGGAGCACUUAAAAUCUUCUCGAUGACAACUCAUCCAUGAUUACUUUGGAGAAAGGUGGGUUGGUCAUGAUCUCCAAAUCCUCUCCUUGGUCAAGUUGCCUUCGCAAGGCUUUGAUUUUCAUAUUCAUCUCCAUAAUCUUUUGAUCAAAGUCUGCCUCCCUCUUAAAGAGCAUUUUUGGCUCGGGAGAUUCCAACUCUUUUCAGGCUAGAGCCCAUUAGAAUGAGCACCAGGUACAUCUUCUCAAUGCCACCAAGAGUCCUCAUCAUGGCAAUAAGUAUUUGGUGCAGGAUAAUCACAUCG